UCCCAUAGCUCAGUCAGUAGAGCAUGCGUCUCUUAAUCUUAGGAUUGUGGGUUCGAGUCCCAGGUUGGGUGAA